rnacentral:rRNA from 1 species
GACGAACGCUGGCGGCGUGCCUAAUACAUGCAAGUAGAACGCUGAAGAGAGGAGCUUGCUCUUCUUGGAUGAGUUGCGAACGGGUGAGUAACGCGUAGGUAACCUGCCUUGUAGCGGGGGAUAACUAUUGGAAACGAUAGCUAAUACCGCAUAACAAUGGAUGACACAUGUCAUUUAUUUGAAAGGGGCAAUUGCUCCACUACAAGACGGACCUGCGUUGUGUUAGCUAGUAGGUGAGGUAACGGCUCACCUAGGCGACGAUACAUAGCCGACCUGAGAGGGUGAUCGGCCACACUGGGACUGAGACACGGCCCAGACUCCUACGGGAGGCAGCAGUAGGGAAUCUUCGGCAAUGGGGGCAACCCUGACCGAGCAACGCCGCGUGAGUGAAGAAGGUUUUCGGAUCGUAAAGCUCUGUUGUAAGUCAAGAACGAGUGUGAGAGUGGAAAGUUCACACUGUGACGGUAGCUUACCAGAAAGGGACGGCUAACUACGUGCCAGCAGCCGCGGUAAUACGUAGGUCCCGAGCGUUGUCCGGAUUUAUUGGGCGUAAAGCGAGCGCAGGCGGUUUGAUAAGUCUGAAGUUAAAGGCUGUGGCUCAACCAUAGUUCGCUUUGGAAACUGUCAAACUUGAGUGCAGAAGGGGAGAGUGGAAUUCCAUGUGUAGCGGUGAAAUGCGUAGAUAUAUGGAGGAACACCGGUGGCGAAAGCGGCUCUCUGGUCUGUAACUGACGCUGAGGCUCGAAAGCGUGGGGAGCGAACAGG